CUGAGGGUUCCAGAAGGCUUAAAGGGUGCUGAGUGUUAACUAUCUAAGAAGUGAUGUAUUCAGAGCCCACGUAAGAGACAUCAGUCUAGGUUCUAGGGAUACAGUAGUGAACAAAAUGAAAUUUCACCUGGAGCUUAUUCUCACCUCUGUUAAGGUGACACUUGAAAAUGAGGGAGAAAACUAGACACAGACACCUGGCCGAAGAGCAUUCCACACAGAGGGAACAGCAAGAGAAGAUGUGCUGAGGUGGGAGCAUACGCGGAGAGUCUGAGGACCAUCAAGGAUACCAAUAUGGCUGGAACAGAGGGUGCAAGGUGAAGAGAGGGAACAUUGUGCCCACCACCCAGGCACUCCCCAGGAGGAAGUACAGCCUCAGGAGAAGACCCCAAGAUAAGAGUGAGAGUAACCGAGUUUGAUACUGGCUUUCCCACUUGCUAGCUUUGUGACCGGCCUCUGCCUCAGUGUCCUUACCUGUUAAAGGAACUAGAAGAAAAGCUCUACCCCAUGGGCUCCUGGUGAGGAUGAAACCAAGUUAUAUAGAUGAAGUGCUUCCAACUGUGACUGACAAAUAAUACAUGGUGGAAGACAAGUCCUUGCCCUCUCUCCCCACGGCAAAGCCCUGUGACUAAUCCUGGUCACUGAAAUGUAGCAAGAGGAGAAGUUUGCCCCUAAGACAUGGUCCUCCAUGCGCCUUCUCUGUUCAUCGGAAAGCUGGUCACCGAGGGCACAGCCUAGGACUUCAGGAGUUUAUACUAUCCUGGGUAAAAUCGGCACAUGAACGCCAAAUGAUACUACAGGACAGUUUGAUAUACAUGCCCCAAGGAGGUAAAACAGGAAUGUCAAGGGAUUGCAGAGGCCAAAGGAAAGUAUAAUAAAAGCAAAGAUAAUAACAAUAUUUAUGGAGUGCUUGUUAUGUGCCAAGAGUUGAGAUGAGGAAAAGUGAAUCAGGGGAGAGCUGAAGUGAUUGAUGUACUCCGAUUGUUGGUCGAAGGAUAGAUAGAAGAGAAAGCAUCACAGAAGAUCAAUACUUUUUUCAUCUUAUAACCCUUGAACCACGGACGUUCAAAUUAAUUCAAUCCAAGAAAGCGGUCAUGGGAACCUCUGACUUUUAGCCAUUUGAUCAGAAGCACAGGAAGAGGAAGAGACCCCAGGAGUGUGCAUGCACGAGGAAAGGCCUUGUGAGGACACAGUGAGAAGGGGCCACCUACAAGCCAGGAAGAGAUUCUCAGCAGAAAUCAAGCCUGAUGUCACCUUGAACUUUAACUUCCAGCCUCCAGUACUCUGUUGGUAAAAUCUUGAGGCCCCUUUCCCCAAGGGAAGUUUGCUGCUUGCUGGAAAGCUGAAGUUGCUUACAGUCAAGAACACGUUCUGUCUCACAUAAAAGCCUAAAAUCAUGGAGGAGCCAAUGUUAAGUGUUCCAGGGAGAAUGGGAGAGAAGAGUGCCUUUGAAGAACAUGA